rnacentral:tRNA from 2 species
GUGUCUAUAGCUCAGUUGGUAGAGCACUUGACUUUUAAUCAAGAUGUUCCUGGUUCGAUUCCUGGUAGACACA